rnacentral:rRNA from 1 species
CCAGACUCCUACGGGAGGCAGCAGUGAGGAAUAUUGGUCAAUGGGCUUACGCCUGAACCAGCCAAGUCGCGUGAGGGAAGACUGCCCUAUGGGUUGUAAACCUCUUUUGUCAGGGAGCAAUUGGCGCUACGUGUAGCGUUAUCGAGAGUACCUGAAGAAAAAGCAUCGGCUAACUCCGUGCCAGCAGCCGCGGUAAUACGGAGGAUGCGAGCGUUAUCCGGAUUUAUUGGGUUUAAAGGGUGCGUAGGCGGAAUGCCAAGUCAGCGGUAAAAUCGCGGGGCUCAACCUCGCUCCGCCGUUGAAACUGGCGUUCUUGAGUGGGCGAGAAGUAUGCGGAAUGCGUGGUGUAGCGGUGAAAUGCAUAGAUAUCACGCAGAACUCCGAUUGCGAAGGCAGCAUACCGGCGCCCAACUGACGCUGAAGCACGAAAGUGCGGGGAUCGAACAGGAUUAGAUACCCGAGUA